GACGUAGGGUCCAAGCGUUGUCCGGAUUUACUGGGCGUAAAGAGCUUGUAGGCGGUUUGUCGCGUCUGCUGUGAAAAUCCGGGGCUCAACCCCGGACUUGCAGUGGGUACGGGCAGACUAGAGUGUGGUAGGGGAGACUGGAAUUCCUGGUGUAGCGGUGAAAUGCGCAGAUAUCAGGAGGAACACCGAUGGCGAAGGCAGGUCUCUGGGCCACUACUGACGCUGAGAAGCGAAAGCAUGGGGAGCGAACAGG
rnacentral:rRNA from 1 species